rnacentral:tRNA from 1 species
GGUCCGUUGGUCAAGCGGUUAAGACACCGCCCUUUCACGGCGGAAACACGAGUUCGAUUCUCGUACGGAUCACCA